GUAGCACUUCCUCUAAGAGACGCUAUAAACUUCAACCUGAACACAAGUUUAAUCUGAACACACGAUCAACAAGCUCAAGAAUGAAGACGGUGCUGCUUUCACUGCUCUGUCUGUUUGAGUGGAAUCAGUCCACAGAAGCUUUAACUGAUCAGCAGGUGGUUUUAGGGCAGAGUGUGACUUUAGCCUGCGAGUUUAAAUGUAAAGCCGCUAUAUGGUUUUUGUUGAAACUACCAGCUCGUCCAGAGAUGAUACUGUGAACAUUUGCAUCCAGUGAUGAUACUGAGACUGAUUAUUAUGAUGAAAAAUUCUGCAACAAAUAUUUAGAGGGAAACAGGAGCGAAUUAGUAAUCAAUAAUGUCACUGUUGCUGAUUUAGGAGUUUAUUACUGUAUAAAAGCAGGCUGGGCUUUAAAGAUCAGUGACGGUAUCAGACUGCACACCACUGAAGUCUGAGGUGAAGUUUGGUGAGCGUGACAGACCAGCAGCACUGUUGUUCCUGCUGAAUAUCUAGAAGUUCAUCCAAACUCUGUAUAUGAAACAGCUUCAUUCUGAGAGAUUGUGUUGAUUUAUCGCUGUUUGCUUCAAAUGAUCAGAAUUGAGAGCUGCUUGAACAUGUAAUGAAAUUAUGAUUCUCAAAGACUUUAAUUUGCUCUUUUCUGUUCAUAAUAAAACAUGACUAAAAUCUGUUUGCAAUUAAAAUGUCAAUCAAGUUUUAUAAUAACAUAUUCUUUUCGAAUAAAUCAA